rnacentral:rRNA from 1 species
GAUGAACGCUGGCGGCGCGCCUAACACAUGCAAGUCGAACGAUUAAAGCACCUUCGGGUGUGUAUAAAGUGGCGAACGGCUGAGUAACACGUGGGCAACCUGCCCCUUUCAUUGGGAUAGCCACGGGAAACCGUGGAUAAUACCGAAUACUUCGAGACUUCCGCAUGGAAGACUCGAGAAAGCUCCGGCGGAGAGGGAUGGGCCCGCGGCCUGUUAGCUUGUUGGUGGGGUAACGGCCUACCAAGGCAAUGAUGGGUAGCUGGGUUGAGAGACCGACCAGCCAGAUUGGGACUGAGACACGGCCCAGACUCCUACGGGAGGCAGCAGUGGGGAAUCUUGCACAAUGGGCGAAAGCCUGAUGCAGCGACGCCGCGUGGGGGAUGAAGGCCUUCGGGUUGUAAACCGCUUUCAGCAGGGACGAGGCGAAAGUGACGGUACCUGCAGAAGAAGCCCCGGCUAACUACGUG